rnacentral:lncRNA from 1 species
UCAUUUCGAGCUUUGUUCUUAAGUCAUGUCAAAUUCGUAGGUAAAAAAAAGAAAAAAAGAAAAAAAAAAAAAAAAAAAAAAAAGAAAAGGAAAGAGUCUGUGUUUGUUGACUCUAAAGCAUAAUACUGUCGGCACGUGAGAACAAAAAAAACUUCACCUACUCGCGCCAAAAGUUAUAUUCACCAUUAACGCAUAUUUAGUGAACCUUGUAACCGACAGGGGAAAAAGAAAAUUUUAAAAAAAGGCCAACUCAAUUACCUAUUUGCUUGCUUAACCAUAAAAAGAAAAAAGAAUAGAUGCCAAUGCUCAGUUAAGUCUUGUGAAUCAAGUUUAACUUUCUUUUUUUCUUUUUCUUUUUCCCCGUUUCUCCCUCUCCUCUUCAUACGAACAUGCUGUAAAUAAAAUGUGCUUACUAUUAGGGAAAGAAUCUCAAAUGAUUGGGUAUUAUUUAGCAAUGAUUAUCAAUAAUAAGUAUCAAAAUCAAUAAUACAAAAGAAAGAAACAAACUACACAUAUGGCGAAGGGGAGACAACAAAAUUAGAGAUAAGUGAUGGAGGGGAGCACUAAACAUAUCGGUUUAGCCAAGUGUCGUAGGGUUUGAGUUGGUUAUCUUUUGCCAACAAAAUCACGGGGAAACAUUUGGUCCCGGAUUCGACCCCCUUAUGGCCAUCUCAUGACAGCCUAGAUAGAAUACAGAUUCUUUUCUGUUGUCCAACUCCCUUUGCAUCUUCAAACGUAAAGUGUGUCACAAGAAUAACUUACCUUACUCGGAGCGAUAAGGCACUUUUGAGGUGUCUUUACAUAAAAGAGCUGACUUUGUAUUGGUCACACCGCAAAAAUGCAUUAGAAAAAUUCCCAUGAAAAGAGUUGAAACCUGAUAUAGGAAUGGAAAAGGAAAAGGAAAAGGAAAAGGAAAUAUGCUUUGCUGAGAUUGUUAGCAGCUACUGCGGCAAUGUGUUUGUUGGUCCCACCAGGCAGUAAGAUUGGCAAAAUAUUUUCAGCGUGGAUGUCGGAAGAGGAAAUUCAACUGGUUAAAGGAUGGACCCCACUUCCUAAAUUCUGGGCCAGCCUGCUAAACAUGAUGGAUGGACCGGUCAUUAUAAUAGAGUCUUUUAAUAUAUCGAGAAACAAAUCAGCGGCGGAUCUCAUCAGGAGGCUCCACUUACAUUAAAAAACUCGCCACAAAAUAGACCUGAUACCAACCAAUGUGUAAAUGCAGUAGAGCUUUUAAGUUUGGCCAAUUUCACGAUAACACAAGCGUAGCAUUGGCGCAAUGGUGGUGCUAGUCCUUCAUGCCAAGGUGCAACGCGAUAUUGACCAUUCGAAAGCACCAAGAAACUGCCGACAGCCACCGCAAUUACUUUCAUUUUUAGGGCUAUUUAUAUAUAUAUAUAUCAACCAGAAACAUGAGAUUAGGAAUUUCGCAUUUUCCAUGAAACAAUUCAGUUACUGAUUGCUGUUGAAAGUGAAAUAUUUGUCGCGGCAACCAAAUAAAGUUUAUAUUUAAAUGAAAGUGUCUAAGAAAGGGGGCUUUCGUUAAAAUAUGUGCGUGACAGCUAGAGCUAGCUGUCUUGAUGGGAACAAGUGAUGCGGCACAGAUUUGCCAUCUC